GAGUUGACGUCCGUGGCUCGAGACGACGCUGGCGGCGUGCCUAACACAUGCAGGUCGAGCGAUGAAGUUCCUUCGGGAACGGAUUAGCGGCGGACGGGUGAGUAACACGUGGGUAACCUGCCUUAUAGACGGGGGAUAGCUUUCCGAAAGGAAGAUUAAUACCGCAUAAAGUUGUUGAUUCGCAUGGAUCGAUAACCAAAGGAGCAAUCCGCUAUAAGAUGGACCCGCGGCGCAUUAGCUAGUUGGUGAGGUAGAAGCUCACCAAGGCGACGAUGCGUAGCUGACCUGAGAGGGUGAUCGGCCACAUUGGGACUGAGACACGGCCCAGACUCCUAUGGGAGGCAGCAGUGGGGAAUAUUGCACAAUGGGGGAAACCCUGAUGCAGCAACGCCGCGUGAGUGAUGAAGGCCUUCGGGUUGUAAAGCUCUGUCUUUGGGGACGAUAAUGACGGUACCCAAGGAGGAAGCCACGGCUAACUACGUG
rnacentral:rRNA from 1 species